AGUAAAUAGAUACCCUGGUAGUCCACGCCGUAAACGAUGAGUACUAGGUGUAGGAGGUAUCGACUCCUUCUGUGCCGCAGUUAAACACAAUAAGUACUCCGCCUGGGAAGUACGGUCGCAAGAUUAAAACUCAAAGGAAUUGACGGGGGCCCGCACAAGCAGCGGAGCAUGUGGUUUAAUUCGAAGCAACGCGAAGAACCUUACCUAGACUUGACAUCUCCUGAAUAGUGUAGAGAUACAUGAAGCCCUUCGGGGCAGGAAGACAGGUGGUGCAUGGUUGUCGUCAGCUCGUGUCGUGAGAUGUUGGGUUAAGUCCCGCAACGAGCGCAACCCUUAUUACUAGUUGCUACCAUUAAGUUGAGCACUCUAGUGAGACUGCCCGGGUUAACC
rnacentral:rRNA from 1 species